AAAAUAAUAAUAAUAAUAAUAAUGCUAUACUAAACAUUUGGAUGAUGACCUUUUUUUUCCUUUCUCUUUCAUUAAGCAUUCUACGUUUCCAAAAAGAAGCCUUGAUAUUAAUCAUGUAGGUUAAUCAUUCAAGAAAACGUCAUAAAGCACAUCCAAGUGGAAUCCACAGCCACGUGAAAUGAAGUGAACAACUUAUCAAGAAAUAGAUACUGGCAAUGCCCCGCGCCCCAACCCCUUUCCCCACCACCAUCCCAACAAGACAGAGAGAGGGGAAAUACAAAGAGCGAAUGCUGCAGAUUGCUAAAGCAAAUGCAAACCACCGGAGGAAUACCAAUUGGAAAAUAUUUGAAUGCAAUUUAAAGUAAGUACAGGGGUAUAAAUUAAUUUAUGAAUCCAUGAAUUAACACAAGCAUUGAUACCUCCAUCAUGAUUCACGAAAUGUACAAAUGUUAAACUUUAAACUUAAAUUUUCACCAGAACACCAUCCCAUUAUAAAAGCCACCCAAAUCCCAAAAGAAUACAUUGCAGGAACGAAAAUUAUUACAACACACUUAGCCCUGUGUGUAUAUGUGCGAGCGAGCGAGUGA
rnacentral:misc_RNA from 1 species